UGUAAGCGCCAGGGGCCAAAGAGAUUGGCUGCAACUGAAAAUUACACCUGUGGGGGGAAAGAGGAGGAGGGUGAGUCGGACUACAUGUAAACCAAACCCUUCACAAAUUCUGCCUCUGUCUUCUCGAGGAGCUUAACAGUUCAACACCGCCAAAGAGAACACUCGGAAAGAAGAAACUUCUGCUUUCAGCGACGGGAAGAUACCUGAUAGGCUUUUUCCUUCCGGGGUCUGCCUCUUCUUCUCAAGUCUACCGGAAAGGGAUUGGCAUCUUCCUCCCUCCGAAGCGCCUCGCCAGUGUCCUUCAGCACGAGCAGGAAAGACGAGGACUAAAGCCCCAACACAAUGAUGCCUCUUGUAUUGGGUUUCCAGCUCGGUGACCACACCUGGGAAAGGCUGGGUAAAUUCGCCAACGUGAUACCUUCUUUGUGUUCUGUCAAGACGGUGAGCUGCGGUCACAACUUGUUGCUCGGCGACGCUGUUGUUCAGACUUUUUGGACAUUUGUUAGUAUUAUGUGAUCGGUAAUAUCUGGGGGGAAGGGGGUGGGGUACAGAACGUUAGGUCAUCGCAGAAAACAACGCUAGGGGUAGUUUCGGCGGAAAGCAAAAAUAACCCGUAUCAAAUUCCAGCCUCAUUUGAGCUGAAAGAAAGACGAGGAAACAAUAGAAGCCAACGAUCAUUCCUAAACUGGAUAGACCAGUUUGGGCAGGUAAAGGCAAACUGCCAGACUUGUCAGAGGACACGAAGAUAGAAGCUGACUGCUUCUCUUAGAACGUACAAGGCUCAACACCAGGAAUCAUCAAGCCAAAUGACGGUGAGGAACACUUUUACUGGUGACCGAGUAACAAUCAGCCUUAGCCUGCUAGUAUAGUAGUAAUAAAAAACUUAUUACGCAACUUGCUUACAACCUGUUGAACUGUGUUGAACGAGUAAUCUUUUCAGGUCAUCGUGCUGCAUUUCUUCGUCAGCUUAUAAUAAAAAGUAUUGGUCUUGGCAAAGGUAGUAUCAUAUAUUUUGGAUAAAAGAAAAAGGAAGCGGCGGCGUGCCGGACUUAAAAUGUCCGCUCAUCGCUUUUCUUUACCUCGGAGGAUUGAGUGCGAGUUGAGACAAAAACAGCAGCGUCAGACCUGCACAGCGGGGAUUUUCCACUACUGGAUAGUUGAUUCAUUAUUUGGUGAGCUCCUGGCUUAUAUUUAUUCAGAUUAGUAACGAGGAAAUGUUGAGAAAGGCAACUGCGAAAAAAAUGGAGGGAAAAUGACGACCGCGUACAGUAAACUGUAGAGCGGAGGCUGCAGCUCGAGGUGGAAGAUUGUGAUUGGCGGACGGGGAGCGAAGCUGCAGGUUACAUGAGCUAGACCACUAGAGAAUACAUUUCAAUGUUAACUUUAAGGAUUUUGGGGCUAAUUAAAAGUUAAAGUACCAAUGAUUGUCACACAAACACACACUAGGUGUGGCGAAAUUAUUCCCUUCAUUUGACCCAUCACCCUUGAUCACCCCCUGGGAGGUGAGGGGAGCAGUGAGCAGCAGCGGUGGCCAUCAUUUUGGUGAUUUAACCCCCAAUUCCAACCCUUGAUGCUGAGAGUCAAGCAGGGAGGGUAACAGGUCCCAUUUUUAUAUAGUCGUAGUUGAACUCACAACAUACCAAUCUCAGGGUGGACACUGUAAAACCACUAGGCCACCGAGUAGGUUGCCAGUUUUGCGCCACCAUUUUCAUCUGGCUACUGCCACUGGUAAAGUUACUAAACAUGACAGAUCUUGUUUGUUGGAGUUGACAAGGUUGUAGCCUUUAAAUAUGCAUACAAUUUUAAAAUACAUGAUGUCUGGCAGUCAGUUUCUUCUGCAAUAUAUACUUGAGUUUUGCAUUAACACUGCUUAAGACCAAAAACAAAUGUCCAUUUCUGAGGACAGUGUUUUGACAGGAGAAUAUGAUAUUAUAAUUAACUUACUUAAAGCCAUUAAAUAUUAGCAACUAAGAACAUAUAAAUCAAUUUCAACCAAGACUGUAAUUUUAGCAUCUGUGGCAAAAAACAUGCAGUCCAUCAAAAAAGGUACUGUACUCAGUGGUUUCAUCAGAGGGAAGCAACAAGUAAAGUGAAUUUAGCAAAGUGGGCGGAGCAAUCAGUGCCAGAUGGAAACCCAUUAGACAUGCAAAGCAUCAUCAGUGUUGGUUAGAUUGGAUGCUUAGUAGGACAUUGGUUGGUUGUGUGUAGGUCCAGUAAGGUGGUGCCCUGAUAAAAAGUCCACACUUAAGUAGAGUUUUGGGUUUCCCUUCCAUUGUUUUCUCCCACAAAGCCAGCGACUAUUGAUUAAGGGCCAGGCCAGUUUACCUAUCAGGUUGUGGAGUCACAUUCCAGCACAGGGGGCAGAGUUACCUGAUCACGCCUCACUUCCAGCAGACUAAAAAGCGUGGGCAGCCAUGACUGGUUAAGAAGACUCCCCCUCCCCAAUGUCCCCAGCGAAGCUCCGUGUUCUGCAAUCGGACUUUUUUAAAUUUAUUUAAUAACACAGCAAAAAGAGGAACUAAGAAGUAUGAAGGGAAGUUAAUGGAUGUGAGGGCGGGGGAAUUUAGUCAGAAAGGUGCUCCACUUUGACCAGCCUCCCCCCCUACUCGCCUUCCAAUCACUGCCACUUUCUUUGGGUUAGUUGCAUUCUUUCCACGGGGUUCUUUUCAUGACGGUAAGAUCACAGGAAAAUCCCCUGGAGAGCAGUGAAACCUGCGAAACAGGCUUGUAGGGAUGAAAUAGCCUCUGUGUUUUUUUCCUAACCUAACGUAAAUUCCGCUCUACCCGGUAUUGGGCACCUUAUAACAGAUACACCACAGAAACCCUCGACUAUAUAUAAUUUGUUUUCUUCAAAAACAAAGAAAAGAUUAGUAAACACUUCACUCAUGCCAGCAACAGAAAAACAUGCUUUUGAAUAGCCUUCAAUUGCAUGUAUUGCUGUCAUCCAAUAUAUAGCAUACAUCUCCAAAUUUUUUCCCCAAUCCAAAACAUGAAGAAAACAUACAUUUUGGGGUAGAAGGAAAAAAUAAACACAGAAAGUACAUGUUUUUUAUCGGACAUAAAUAUGUGAUAUGUGAAUGAAACCAAAGACAAUAAAACAAGUAAAAAAAAAAAAAAAAAAAAAAUAUAUAUAUAUAUAUAUAUAUAUAUAUAUAUAUAUAUAUAUAUAAUAUUUUUUCAGGAAAAGAGCAGGGAAACCUGCGAAACAGGCUUGUAGGGAUGAAAUAGCCUGUAUUUUUUCCUGACCUAACGUACCGCGGUAUUGAGCACCUUAUAACAGAUAAACCACAAAAAAUUUCGACUAUUCAUAAUUUGUUUUCCUCAAAAACGAAGAAUACAAUAGUAAACACUUCUCUCAUGCCAGUAACACCAAAACAUGCUUUUGAAUAGCCUUCAAUUGCAUGUAUUGGGGUUGUCCAAUAGAAAGCAUGCAUCUCCAAAUUUUUCCCCCCAUCUAAAACAUGAAGAAAACAUACAUUUUAGUUGCAUUUUAGAAAUGACAUGUUUUUUAUUGGACAUAAAUAUGUGAAAUUUGAAUAAAAACAAAGACAAUAUAACAAGUUAAAAAUGUUUACGUAUUUAAUAGAUAUACUAUUAUAUG